CUAGACAGUAGCCCGAGGGCCUCCGCUUCUGGUGACUUUGGGGCUGCCAUGGGCCUGGCUGCUCCUGUACUAGCUUGUUGACUCUGGCCCACGCCUGCUGCAGAGCAGCCCGAGGGGGGCAACACCUUCCCCUGAGAACCAGUGCCAGGGUAGGAGCACCCGGGGCUCUGUAUAAGGUCAGCACUACUGUGAUGGAUUGCUCCUGCUGGAUGGAUGGACAGACGGACCAGAAUGCAGAUCCCAGAAAGGGCACGCCAUCCCUGGAAGGCAUGCGAGCCAGGCCCCCCCAGAGCAGCACCAGAGCAUGGCGACCCCAUCAAGGACUUUGCUGGAGGCUGUGAAGACCCUCCCAGGUCUCCUCUGACUCGGGGAAGUCCGGAGAGGGAGCCCGGGCGGACAGCCUGCUUCCCGCCACAAGCAGACCCCCUCCGGGCGCCA